rnacentral:rRNA from 1 species
GAUGAACGCUGGCGGCGUGCCUAGUACAUGCAAGUCGAGCGAACAGACGAGGAGCUUGCUCCUCUGACGUUAGCGGCGGACGGGUGAGUAACACGUGGAUAACCUACCUAUAAGACUGGGAUAACUUCGGGAAACCGGAGCUAAUACCGGAUAAUAUAUUGAACCGCAUGGUUCAAUAGUGAAAGACGGUUUUGCUGUCACUUAUAGAUGGAUCCGCGCCGCAUUAGCUAGUUGGUAAGGUAACGGCUUACCAAGGCGACGAUGCGUAGCCGACCUGAGAGAGUGAUCGGCCACACUGGAACUGAGACACGGUCCAGACGCCUACGGGAGGCAGCAGUAGGGAAUCUGCCGCAAUGGGCGAAAGCUUGACGGAGCAACGCCGCGUGAGUGAUGAAGGUCUUCGGAUCGUAAAACUCUGUUAUUAGGGAAGAACAAAUGUGUAAGUAACUAUGCACGUCUUGACGGUACCUAAUCAGAAAGCCACGGCUAACUACGUG